rnacentral:rRNA from 1 species
UACGUAGGGUGCAAGCGUUGUCCGGAAUUAUUGGGCGUAAAGAGCUCGUAGGCGGUUUGUCGCGUCUGCUGUGAAAACCCGAGGCUCAACCUCGGGCCUGCAGUGGGUACGGGCAGACUAGAGUGCGGUAGGGGAGAUUGGAAUUCCUGGUGUAGCGGUGGAAUGCGCAGAUAUCAGGAGGAACACCAAUGGCGAAGGCAGAUUUCUGGGCCGUAACUGACGCUGAGGAGCGAAAGCAUGGGGAGCGAACAGG